CUGGCGGCAUGCCUUACACAUGCAAGUCGAACAGCAGCAUGGAAGAGCUUGCUCUUCUGAUGGCGAGUGGCGAACGGGUGAGUAAAGCAUCGGAACGUACCGUGUAGUGGGGGAUAACGUAGCGAAAGUUACGCUAAUACCGCAUACGCACUGAGGUGGAAAGCAGGGGAUCGCAAGACCUUGCGCUAUACGAGCGGCCGAUGCCAGAUUAGCUAGUUGGUAGGGUAAAGGCCUACCAAGGCGACGAUCUGUAGCGGGGUCUGAGAGGAUGAUCCGCCACACUGGGACUGAGACACGGCCCCAGACUCCUACGGGAGGCAGCAGUGGGGAAUUUUGGACAAUGGGCGAAAGUCUGAUCCAGCCAUGCCGCGUGAGUGAAGAAGGCCUUCGGGUUGUAAAGCUCUUUCGGCUGGGAAGAAAUCGCACAGGCUAAUACUCUGUGUGGAUGACGGUACCAACACAAGAAGCACCGGCUAACUACGUG
rnacentral:rRNA from 1 species